ACACCUCAACUCCUCACGGUUUGCCGUGAUGAGCUUGGACUUGGGGGUUUUGCCGGCAUGCAGCCGGCUCCUCUCAAAUGAAUCAGCUUUCCAGUGUUUGGUGGCAUCACGGGUGUGAUAACUAUCUACGCUUGUGGUUUCCACCAUGCAACCUUCAGUGAUGAAGGUGCGCUGGAGCUCACAAAUGUCCCUCCUCAGUGAGGACAGCUUCUGAAC
rnacentral:misc_RNA from 1 species